rnacentral:rRNA from 1 species
GACGAACGCUGGCGGCGUGCUUAACACAUGCAAGUCGAACGGUGAAGCGCCUUCCUUUUUGGUGGGUGUGGAUGAGUGGCGAACGGGUGAGUAACACGUGAGUAACCUGCCCCCUUCUUCUGGAUAACCGCAUGAAAGUGUGGCUAAUACGGGAUAUUCUGGGUCUGUCGCAUGAUGGGUCUGGGAAAGAUAUUGUUUCGGUGGGGGAUGGGCUCGCGGCCUAUCAGCUUGUUGGUGGGGUGAUGGCCUACCAAGGCGGUGACGGGUAGCCGGCCUGAGAGGGUGGACGAUCACACUGGGACUGAGACACGGCCCAGACUCCUACGGGAGGCAGCAGUGGGGAAUAGGGCACAAUGGGCGCAAGCCUGAUGCAGCGACGCCGCGUGAGGGAUGGAGGCCUUCGGGUUGUGAACCUCUUUCGCCAGUGAAGCAGGCCUGCCUCGUUUGUGGGUGGGUUGACGGUAGCUGGAGAAGAAGCGCCGGCUAACUACGUG